UUGGUGGGGUAACGACCCACCAAGCAGACGACGGGUAGCCGGCCUGAGAGGGCGAUCGGCCACACUGGGACUGAGACACGGCCCAGACUCCUACGGGAGGCAGCAGUGGGGAAUAUUGCACAAUGGGCGCAAGCCUGAUGCAGCGACGCCGCGUGGGGGAUGACGGCCUUCGGGUUGUAAACCCCUUUCGACAGGGACGAAGCGUGAGUGACGGUACCUGUAAAAGAAGCACCGGCCAACUACGUGCCACCAGCCGCGGUAAUACGUAGGGUGCGAGCGUUGUCCGGAAUUUCUGGGCGUAAAGAGCUUGUAGGCGGUUCGUCGCGUCGCUCGUGAAAACCGGCAGCUCAACUGUCGGCUUGCGGGCGAUACGGGCGGACUAGAGUACUGCAGGGGAGACUGGAAUUCCUGGUGUAGCGGUGAAAUGCGCAGAUAUCAGGAGGAACACCGGUGGCGAAGGCGGGUCUCUGGGCAGUAACUGACGCUGAGAAGCGAAAGCGUGGGUAGCGAACAGGAUUAGAUACCCUGGUAGUCCACGCCGUAAACGGUGGGCGCUAGGUGUGGG
rnacentral:rRNA from 1 species